AAAAUGUAUUCAACACAGAAAUCUUGAAAAUAUUUAAUGCAUCAAAUAAUUUUUCCUAGCCUGUGAGAUAUCUUGCACUAAAAAUGUCUUUCUGCUGAAGUAUUUUCUGAAAUAUUAGUUUCUACUUUUACUUUUUUCUCCCAGGACAUCCAUUCGUCUGAACCAAAACAGCUCCCUUAUUUUAUUUUUUCCUUUUUUUAUUUUUUCUAGUUCUGAAAUAACCCAUCUUGAAGACAUAAACAACCUGCAUUGAUGGCUAGCCAGACUCUGUCCUGCCACAGUUCUCCUCCUACUCUUCAUUUCUUACCCCAAGGAGUAGUAAACAUGAAUCCUGACCCACCAAUGCAGUCCCAGAACUGAGAAAAGAUUCAUUGCAGCUAAACAGUAGGUAGAAAUAAAAACAAUGACUCAAUUCGAUAAUAUUAAGUGUGUUGGGAAGAGAGUCUCCAAAAGAAAAGAUAAAUAACCUACAUAAUGAAGAAUUACUUAGCAGUGUUAUGUAAAUAUUGUAGCAGCAUCAAUGAGGAGGAUUACCAUCUUUCUGCCUAAAGUACCUCCUUUACAAUUGCUUUUUAUGAGACAAGGUGAACAGUGCCCUAUGGAACUCCAGGAACUUCAAAACAUUUUUAUCCAGGCUUUUGCUACAUUUUGA
rnacentral:lncRNA from 1 species